AAUCAACGCUGGCGGCGUGCCUAACACAUGCAAGUCGAACGAGAAAGUGGAGCAAUCCAUGAGUAAAGUGGCGACCGGGUGAGUAACACGUGACUAACCUGCCCUAGAGUGGGGGAUAACCUCGGGAAACCGGGGCUAAUACCGCAUAACAUCUCGAGGGGAAGAUCCUUGUGAUCAAAGGAGCAAUUCGCUCAAGGAGGGGGUCGCGGCUGAUUAGCCAGUUGGCGGGGUAACGGCCCACCAAAGCAAAGAUCAGUAGCCGGCCUGAGAGGGCGCACGGCCACACUGGAACUGAAACACGGUCCAGACUCCUACGGGAGGCAGCAGUGGGGAAUUUUGCGCAAUAGGGGAAACCCUGACGCAGCAACGCCGCGUGGAGGAUGAAGUCCCUUGGGAUGUAAACUCCUUUCGAUCGGGACGAUAAUGACGGUACCGGAAGAAGAAGCACCGGCUAACUCUGUGCCAGCAGCCGAGUAAAAC
rnacentral:rRNA from 1 species